rnacentral:rRNA from 1 species
AACGAACGCUGGCGGCAUGCCUAAUACAUGCAAGUCGAACGAGACCACCGGGUCCAGUGGCGUACGGUUGUGUAACGCGUGGGAACCUUCCCUUAGGUUUGGACUAACUCCCCGACAGGGGUGCUAACACCGGACAAUGUCUUCGGACCAAAGAUUUAUUGCCUUGGGUUGGUCCCGCGUGGGAUUAGCUCGUUAGUAGGGUAAAAGCUUACUAAGGGGACCAUCCAUAGAUGGGCUGAGAGGAUGAUCAGCAACACUAGGACUGAGACACGGCCCGGACUCCUACGGGAGGCGGGAGUGGGGAAUAUUGCACCAUGGGGGGAAGCAUGAUGCAGCACGGCCGGGUAAGUGAUGAAGGCAUUAGGGUUGUAAAGCUCUUUUAACCGGGAUGAUAAUGACGGUACCGAGAGAAUAAGCUCCGGCUAACUCCGUG